UUGAGCUUGCUCUCUUUGUCGGCAAGCGGCAAACGGGUGAGUAAUAUCUGGGGAUCUACCCAAAAGAGGGGGAUAACUACUAGAAAUGGUAGCUAAUACCGCAUAAAGUUGAAAAACCAAAGUGGGGGAUCUUUUUAAGACCUCAUGCUUUUGGAUGAACCCAGACGAGAUUAGCUUGUUGGUAAGGUAAAAGCUUACCAAGGCCACGAUCUCUAGCUGGUCUGAGAGGAUAACCAGCCACACUGGAACUGAGACACGGUCCAGACUCCUACGGGAGGCAGCAGUGGGGAAUAUUGCACAAUGGGCGAAAGCCUGAUGCAGCUAUGCCGCGUGUAUGAAGAAGGCCUUAGGGUUGUAAAGUACUUUCAGCAGGGAGGAAAGAAGUAAAACUAAUAAUUUUAUUUCGUGACGUUACCCCGCAGAAGA
rnacentral:rRNA from 1 species